AGAAUCAACGCUGGCGGCGUGCCUAACACAUGCAAGUCGAACGAGAAAGUGGAGCAAUCCAUGAGUAAAGUGGCGCACGGGUGAGUAACACGUGACUAACCUACCCUUGAGUGGGGGAUAACCUAGAGAAAUCUGGGCUAAUACCGCAUAAUACCUACGGGUCAAAGGAGCAAUUCGCUCGAGGAGGGGGUCGCGGCCGAUUAGUUAGUUGGCGGGGUAAUGGCCCACCAAGACGAUGAUCGGUA
rnacentral:rRNA from 1 species